UGGACGAAACAGGGGUGUCCGCCCACCGGCCGGACUGAGAAACACCCUGGGGCCCUGCCACCCGCCAGCGCGCGUGCGCCGCCCCGUUACCCGAUCCAGGUCAUGCUGGCGUGGGGAGUUUCCAGCGCAAAACA
rnacentral:ncRNA from 1 species